rnacentral:rRNA from 1 species
GAUGAACGCUGGCGGCGUGCCUAAUACAUGCAAGUCGAACGCUGGAGAUCUAGCUUGCUAGAUCGAAGGAGUGGCGAACGGGUGAGUAAUACAUAAGCAACCUACCCACGAAGACUGGGAUAAUCUCUGGAAACGGGGACUAAUACCGGAUAGGUAAUCGGAAGGCAUCUUCUGGUUAUUAAAGGUUAAAAACACUGGUGGAUGGGCUUAUGGCGCAUUAGUUAGUUGGUGAGGUAACGGCCCACCAAGACGAUGAUGCGUAGCCGGCCUGAGAGGGUGAACGGCCACAUUGGGACUGAGACACGGCCCAGACUCCUACGGGAGGCAGCAGUAGGGAAUGUUCGGCAAUGGGGGAAACCCUGACCGAGCAACGCCGCGUGAGUGAAGACGGCCUUCGGGUUGUAAAGCUCUGUUGUAAGGGAAGAACGGUAGAUAGAGAAUAUCUAAGUGACGGUACCUUACCAGAAAGCCACGGCUAACUACGUG